rnacentral:misc_RNA from 1 species
GAUGAAGAACGUAGCGAAAUGCGAUAAGUAAUGUGAAUUGCAGAAUUCAGUGAAUCAUCGAAUCUUUGAACGCACAUUGCGCCCGCCAGUAUUCUGGCGGGCAUGCCUGUUCGAGCGUCAUUACAACCCUCAGGCCCCCGGGCCUGGCGUUGGGGAUCGGCGGAGCCCCCCGUGGGCACACGCCGUCCCCCAAAUGCAGUGGCGGUCCCGCCGCAGCUUCCAUCGCGUAGUAGUUAACACCUCGCGACUGGAGAGCGGCGCGGCCACGCCGUAAAACACCCAACUCUUCUGAAGUUGACCUCGAAUCAGGUAGGAAUACCCGCUGAACUUAAGCAUAUCAAUAAGCGGAGGA